GAUGAACGCUGGCGGCGUGCCUAAUACAUGCAAGUCGAGCGAACAGACGAGGAUCUUGCUCCUCUGACGUUAGCGGCGGACGGGUGAGUAACACGUGGAUAACCUACCUAUAAGACUGGGAUAACUUCGGGAAACCGGAGCUAAUACCGGAUAAUAUAUUGAACCGCAUGGUUCAAUAGUGAAAGACGGUUUUGCUGUCACUUAUAGAUGGAUCCGCGCCGCAUUAGCUAGUUGGUAAGGUAACGGCUUACCAAGGCGACGAUGCGUAGCCGACCUGAGAGGGUGGUCGGCCACACUGGAACUGAGACACGGUCCAGACUCCUACGGGAGGCAGCAGUAGGGAAUCUUCCGCAAUGGGCGAAAGCCUGACGGAGCAACGCCGCGUGAGUGAUGAAGGUCUUCGGAUCGUAAAACUCUGUUAUUAGGGAAGAACAAAUGUGAAAGUAACUAUGCACGUCUUGACGGUACCUAAUCAGAAAGCCACGGCUAACUACGUG
rnacentral:rRNA from 1 species